CGUAGUCAACCUACCCUAUGGACGGGAAUAAUCUCGGGAAACUGAGCAUAAUACCCGGCGUACCAUCAUUCCUGGAAUGGUUGGUGGUUAAAAUGAUUCGUCGCCGUAGGAUGGGACUGCGACCUAUCAGCUUGUUGGUGGGGUAAUGGCCCACCAAGGCGAUUACAGGUACGGGCUCUGAGAGGAGAAGCCCGGAGAUGGGUACUGAGACACGGACCCAGGCCCUAUGGGGCGCAGCAGGCGAGAAAACUUUGCAAUGUGCGAAAGCACGACAAGGUUAAUCCGAGUGAUUUCUGCUAAAGGAAUCUUUUGCCAGUUCUAAAAAUACUAGUGAAUAAGGGGUGGGCAAGUUCUGGUGUCAGCCGCCGCGGUAAAACCAGCACCUCAAGUGGUCAGGAGGAUUAUUGGGCCUAAAGCAUCCGUAGCCUGCUCUGUAAGUUUUCGGUUAAAUCUAUAUGCUCAACGUAUAGGCCGCCGAAAAUACUGCAGUGCUAGGAAGUGGGAGAGGUAGACGGUACUUGAUAGGAAGGGGUAAAAUCCUUUGAUCUAUCGAUGACCACCUGUGGCGAAGGCGGUCUACCAGAACACGUUCGACGGUGAGGGAUGAAAGCUGGGGGAGCAAACCGGAUUAGAUACCCGGGUAGUCCCAGCUGUAAACGAUGCAGACUCGAUGAUGCAUUGGCAUAUAGCCAGUGCAGUGUCGCAGGGAAGCCGUUAAGUCUGCCGCCUGGGAAGUACGUACGCAAGUAUGAAACUUAAAGGAAUUGGC
rnacentral:rRNA from 1 species